rnacentral:rRNA from 1 species
CCUAACACAUGCAAGUCGAACGGUAACAGGAAGCAGCUUGCUGUUUCGCUGACGAGUGGCGGACGGGUGAGUAAUGUCUGGGAAACUGCCUGAUGGAGGGGGAUAACUACUGGAAACGGUAGCUAAUACCGCAUAACGUCGCAAGACCAAAGAGGGGGACCUUCGGGCCUCUUGCCAUCGGAUGUGCCCAGAUGGGAUUAGCUAGUAGGUGGGGUAACGGCUCACCUAGGCGACGAUCCCUAGCUGGUCUGAGAGGAUGACCAGCCACACUGGAACUGAGACACGGUCCAGACUCCUACGGGAGGCAGCAGUGGGGAAUAUUGCACAAUGGGCGCAAGCCUGAUGCAGCCAUGCCGCGUGUAUGAAGAAGGCCUUCGGGUUGUAAAGUACUUUCAGCGGGGAGGAGGGGAGUAAAGUUAAUACCUUUGCUCAUUGACGUUACCCGCAGAAGAAGCACCGGCUAACUCCGUGCCAGCAGCCGCGGUAAUACGGAGGGUGCAAGCGUUAAUCGGAAUUACUGGGCGUAAAGCGCACGCAGGCGGUUUGUUAAGUCAGAUGUGAAAUCCCCGGGCUCAACCUGGG